AGCUCAAAUAUCCCCCCUCCCAGAUAGAAUCAGGGGCGCCCUCCUUUGUGGCCGGGUAACCCACCAUCCCCCUCUGGACCGGAUUCUUCAUGUGUGUGGCCCUUGUCUUAUGAGUCACCGUGCUUCCUGGUGCAGCGCAGGCCCUGACUCACCCCGAGUGCCAGGGAAGUGUGGGCCUAACGGCUGUUCCCUCAUGGCUUCUUCCGCCUUCUGCAAAAUGGAAGUACUGAGAGAAUUACUAUUGGCCACAGUCUCUGCUUCGGUGUCUCCUUUCUGCGUGUCAGAGUUUCUAGGGUGUGAACUUGGCGUUCUGCCUGACCUGGCCGCAGUCCUUGUUCCCCUCCUUGCGGGGCCCCCUACCUAAGUGGCAUUCUUCAAACGGGGACGCAUCUUCCAAGCCAACAAGGGGUGCUGGACCCCCUCCCAGUGGUCCGGUGUGAGGAGACAGGGCCCUCCCGGGGUGGCUCGUCUGAGGAAGUAGAGGAGUCCCCUUCUUCAUGUCCCUGGAGAACACGGGGCUGGGAGACGAGGUGACAUUUGCGGCAGAGACUUGUCCACGGAACCCCCCACCCCCAGCCCUCCAGGAGCCUUCCAGUCUUCCUGCCCGCCCCUAUCUGGAGGGAUGCUGGCCAGAAGGGACAGGGUGGGAGCCGGAGGGGUGACUGGAGCAGGGCCCUCCUGCCCGUCUCCCUGCCUGGAGGACCUGAAUUGUCUUUCCGUUUUGCAGAAGAAAGUUGCUGCCAGAGAAUCCCACUCCUUCCCGGUUUCCCAGAGUCCAGAGACCCAGUGGUUCAUAAACUGCGCCCCCGCCCCUGUGCCCCCCAUCUCUCAACAAGCCCCGCCCCCCGUUCACAGGGGAGCUGAACCUAAAGGAAAUGACAGGGGAGAAGAUGUCAGGUUCCUCUCCCGUCCAUUUUUGCCCUGGCUUCAGGGAUGCUAUUUGAGACCUUGCCCCUAGUCUGGCCACUGUCGUUCUCACCCUUCUUCCCCAGAUUUCCCAAGAGGCCAAGUCUCGGCCCGAGAGUCUGGACACUGGCUCCCUUUGCAGCAUCGCCCUCGGAUGAGAGCGCCACGAAGGCUGGAGGCGGGGCGCACGUGGCCCUGGGUGGACACGGGCAGUUACUGAUGGAGCCCAGACCAUUAACGGUCUCCCGUGUCCGAAACCCUUCCAUUAAUAAGCGCUAAUGGCUGAUAUUUACCGAGGACCUGGUACGUCCCAGACAUGUUCUGAGUGCUCUCCUGCGUUAAGGAAAUGGAUUCGUUGACCACAUCUCUGUUUUGCAUACAAGGCAACUGAGGCACAGAGAGGAUGAGCUCCAUGAGCUUUCCAAGGUGACCAGAUCCGGUUCCCGUCCUCAGGUGUGAGCCGUCCCAAGUUGGAGUCAGAUGGGGAAACUGAGGCACGGAGAAGCCAUGUCAUGUGGUCCCACAACCAGGAAGUGGUGGAACAGGAUUCAAGUCGAGGCAGCCAGGCACUAGAGAGAGCUCUGCUCUUGAUCUCUGCCCUGCUUGUGAAUCCUGACCUUCCCCACUACCUUGUAUGGUGAAGCUGGGCUGUCCUUUCCAUUACCAGGUGGAACUCUUGGCCAGAGGCAUACAGUCACAGGUGGUUGAGGAUCACCUCUCUAGCCCCUGGCCCCAUCCCCUCUUCCCCAAGGCAGCCUUCCCACCCUCAACAGCUCCAGCUUCUGGAACCCCAGGUUUGUUCAUUCCCACACCCCAGAGUCAGUCCCAGCUCUUGAAAAGCCAAGGUAGUCAGUCUGGUCUUAAAGCGAAUGACCUGAUUGGGAGGGUGGCCCAAGCCUCCUGGAGUCCAGGGGGAAGGAGGUUUGCAACCCACAGCCACGGUUUACUACAUUUUUCUCGGCCACUCUGAGCAAUGCUUCUCACCUGUGGGCCAGACCUUGCUCCCCCACUUGGCAAAGUGGAGACCCAAAGAGUAGUGUCAGACCAGGUACGGAUCCGGCCGACCCAGAUGGCCACUUCCUCUGCAAGCUGGUAGGACUUAGGAGAGGCAGUGCACAGCCCCAGAGCCCCCAACAGGUGCUCCCCCAGCCCCUGCCACACUGCUUCUAGGGACAGAGCACUGGCUACCUCAGAAGGCAGCUGACCCACUUUGAGUGACACCUUGACCCAAUGCUUUUAUUGUAAACUUUUCCAUGCUUCCUUCCCCAGCUCUGUGGAGACAGUACUCUGGGCUGAGGUCAUCUUAAAGGCUUGCAAAAUCCUUGAGAUGGAAGGUGCCUAAUACAUUGUUGAAAAUAACAGAUCUUAUCAAGGGUGAAGAAAGCAAGAAACAAAAAAGCGGCCAAUUCUAAUGCCAGGAUUGGGAUCCCGGGGGGGAAGGAGAAGGCUGGAAUCCCUGCUGCUGGGGACCAGGGUGGACAUGCGCAGCGUACCCAUGCCACCGUUUACUGAGCACUGGGUGCCAGCCCCAGGGUUCUCUUAAACCCUCACAAUCCUGUGAAAAAGGGUGAUGCUGCAGAGAAGGAAACUGAGGCACAGAGGGGUGUAACAUGCCCAAGGUGGCCCAGCUUGCAAGCAGCAGAGAUGGGAUUUGAAUCCAGGCCUGUGUAUUUUGGAGCCCUGGAUGUGUAAGACUCCGUCUCAGGAACCCAGGACGCAGCUGACCCCUCCUCCAGGGAAAACCUGGAUGGCAUAAAAAGGUUUUGUUGUGUUUGAAAUGUUAGAGAAGAAAAGAACAAAAAGAAAAGAAAGGAAAAGAAAAGAAAGAAAAGAAAAGAAAAAAAGA